UACGGGAGUGGCAAGCGUUAUCCGGAAUUAUUGGGCGUAAAGCGUCCGCAGGCGGCCUUGUAGGUCUGUUGUUAAAGCGUGGAGCUUAACUCCAUUUAAGCAAUGGAAACUGCAAGGCUUGAGUGUGGUAGGGGCAGAGGGAAUUCCCGGUGUAGCGGUGAAAUGCGUAGAUAUCGGGAAGAACGCCAGUGGCGAAGGCGCUCUGCUGGGCCAUAACUGACGCUCAUGGACGAAAGCCAGGGGAGCGAAAGGGAUUAGAUACCCCUGUAGUCCUGGCCGUAAACGAUGAACACUAGGUGUCGGGGGAAUCGACCCCCUCGGUGUCGUAGCCAACGCGUUAAGUGUUCCGCCUGGGGAGUACGCACGCAAGUGUGAAACUCAAAGGAAUUGACGGGGGCCCGCACAAGCGGUGGAGUAUGUGGUUUAAUUCGAUGCAACGCGAAGAACCUUACCAGGGUUUGACAUCCUGCGAAUCCCUUGGAAACGAGGGAGUGCCUUCGGGAGCGCUGUGACAGGUGGUGCAUGGCUGUCGUCAGCUCGUGUCGUGAGAUGUUGGGUUAAGUCCCGCAACGAGCGCAACCCACGUCGUUAGUUGCCAGCAUUUAGUUGGGCACUCUAGCGAGACCGCCGGUGAUAAACCGGAGGAAGGUGUGGAUGACGUCAAGUCAUCAUGCCCCUUACAUCCUGGGCUACACACGUACUACAAUGCUACGGACAAAGGGCAGCAAACUCGCGAGAGCUAGCAAAUCCCAUAAACCGUGGCUCAGUUCAGAUCGUAGGCUGCAACUCGCCUACGUGAAGGAGGAAUCGCUAGUAAUCGCAGGUCAGCAUACUGCGGUGAAUACGUUCCCGGGCCU
rnacentral:rRNA from 1 species